rnacentral:rRNA from 1 species
AACGAACGCUGGCGGCAUGCCUAACACAUGCAAGUCGAACGAAGUCUUCGGACUUAGUGGCGCACGGGUGCGUAACGCGUGGGAAUCUGCCCUUGGGUGCGGAAUAACUUCUCGAAAGGGAUGCUAAUACCGCAUAAUGUCGUAAGACCAAAGAUUUAUCGCCCAAGGAUGAGCCCGCGUAAGAUUAGCUAGUUGGUGGGGUAAAAGCCUACCAAGGCGACGAUCUUUAGCUGGUCUGAGAGGAUGAUCAGCCACACUGGAACUGAGACACGGUCCAGACUCCUACGGGAGGCAGCAGUGGGGAAUAUUGGACAAUGGGCGAAAGCCUGAUCCAGCCAUGCCGCGUGUGUGAAGAAGGCCUUAGGGUUGUAAAGCACUUUCGUCUGUGAAGAUAAUGACGGUACCAUCAGAAGAAGCCCCGGCUAACUCCGUGCCAGCAGCCGCGGUAAU